AAGCGAUUCCGGCGGGGGAUGGGCAUGCGGCGCAUUAGCUAGUCGGCGGGGUAACGGCCCACCGAGGCGACGAUGCGUAGGGGUUCUGAGAGGAAGGUCCCCCACACUGGUACUGAGACACGGACCAGACUCCUACGGGAGGCAGCAGUGAGGAAUAUUGGUCAAUGGGCGGGAGCCUGAACCAGCCAAGUCGCGUGAGGGAAGACGGUCCUACGGAUUGUAAACCUCUUUUGCCGGGGAGCAACGGGGUCCUUGCGAGGGCCCGAUGAGAGUACCCGGAGAAAAAGCAUCGGCUAACUCCGUGCCAGCAGCCGCGGUAAUACGGAGGAUGCGAGCGUUAUCCGGAUUUAUUGGGUUUAAAGGGUGCGUAGGCGGGCUGUUAAGUCAGCGGUCAAAUGUCGGGGCUCAACCCCGGCCUGCCGUUGAAACUGGCGGCCUCGAGUGGGCGAGAAGUAUGCGGAAUGCGUGGUGUAGCGGUGAAAUGCAUAGAUAUCACGCAGAACUCCGAUUGCGAAGGCAGCAUACCGGCGCCCUACUGACGCUGAGGCACGAAAGCGUGGGUAUCGAACAGGAUUAGAUACCCUGGUAGUCCACGCAGUAAACGAUGAAUGCUAGCUGUCCGGUUCUACGG
rnacentral:rRNA from 1 species